CCUACGGGUGGCAGCAGUGGGGAAUAUUGGGCAAUGGGCGCAAGCCUGACCCAGCAACGCCGCGUGAAGGAAGAAGGCUUUCGGGUUGUAAACUUCUUUUUUUAGGGACGAAGCAAGUGACGGUACCUGAUGAAUAAGCCACCGCUAACUACGUGCCAGCAGCCGUGGUAAUACGUAGGUGGCAAGCGUUAUCCGGAUUUACUGGGUGUAAAGGGUGUGUAGGCGGGAAAGCAAGUCAGAUGUGAAAACCAUGGGCUCAACCUGUAGCCUGCAUUUGAAACUGUUUUUCUUGAGUACUGGAGAGGCAGACGGAAUUCGUAGUGUAGCGGUGAAAUGCGUAGAUAUUAGGAAGAACACCAGUGGCGAAGGCAGUCUGCUGGACAGCAACUGACGCUGAGGCGCGAAAGCGUGGGGAGCAAACAGGAUUAGAUACCCCGGUAGUC
rnacentral:rRNA from 1 species